AUUGAACGCUGGCGGUAGGCCUAACACAUGCAAGUCGAACGGCAGCACAGUAAGAGCUUGCUCUUACGGGUGGCGAGUGGCGGACGGGGGAGGAAUACAUCGGAAUCUACUUUUUCGUGGGGGAUAACGUAGGGAAACUUACGCUAAUACCGCAUACGACCUACGGGUGAAAGCAGGGGAUCUUCGGACCUUGCGCGAGUGAAUGAGCCGAUGUCGGAUUAGCUAGUUGGCGGGGUAAAGGCGCACCAAGGCGACAAUCCGUAGCUGGUCUGAGAGGAUGAUCAGCCACACUGGAACUGAGACACGGUCCAGACUCCUACGGGAGGCAGCAGUGGGGAAUAUUGGACAAUGGGCGCAAGCCUGAUCCAGCCAUACCGCGUGGGUGAAGAAGGCCUUCGGGUUGUAAAGCCCUUUUGUUGGGAAAGAAAAGCAGCAGGUUAAUACCCCGCUGUUCUGACGGUACCCAAAGAAUAAGCACCGGCUAACUUCGUG
rnacentral:rRNA from 1 species